rfam:Flavobacterium sp. LM5 Flavobacterium_sp_LM5_contig5, whole genome shotgun sequence.
UUCUAACUUCGCAUGAGGGAUAGGAAUGGCAUCCUUUGCUGGCGGUUCUUUGAGCCAGCAAAGAUAUAAUGGAUAGCCCGACCCCGU